rnacentral:lncRNA from 1 species
CUCUUCCUCCUGCUACUGCCAUGUGAGAUACCUGCCCCUACUUUGCCUUCUUCCAUGAUUGGAAGCUUCCUGAGGCCACCCCAGAGUCAGAAGCCGCUAUGCUUCCUGGACAGCUUGCAGAACCGUGGAUGAAAUCAAGGCUUGCUGCUGACAAAAUAUAAAUCAUGCCAUAUGAUGCCAAUUCUAAAAUGCCAUUAAUUCUCCUCCAUUAACCCCUGCAGAGUAUUCACUGACUGCUGAAACUAGAGCAUCACUGAGAAGCAAGAGAUAGACUGACCUAACUAGAGGGAGAGCUGCCAUCCAGGAUGAUGCCACCAUCACAGGAGGUGAGAAGGAACACAGCAUCUUCUGCAAAUGCUACAGUAAAUAGGGACGGGGUGCAGCAAUGUGAGGAAAGUGGAAUGAACUUGGACUUUGAAGGCAAACUAACCUGGAAUCAAAUACUGGCUCUGCUGUUUGCAAGUGUGAUCUUUGGAUCAAAGACAAACAGGGAAACCUACUUGUCUGGUGCCCAUCCCCUUGGCAGAACACUCCUCUGAAGGAUGACAGUUUGGCUGUGCCAGGGCAGAGCUGCCGACACCAAAUGAGCCUUCAUAGCAACUAUCUGAUGAGGAACUCACUGGCCUACCUUUCCUUGACAGCUGGGGCCUGCCAGCCUUGAAGCAUGACUCCACAACGCCCCUACCCAAGGCCAUGGAGGUUGCUGCUGAUGAGCAAGCUGUUUUAUAUUUAAUCCAGGUUUCUGCUUGGAGAGGAAGAAGGUAGAGGAGCCAGCGAAGGUUUGUCUGAAUGAUACUUGCAGAAAAAACACUGGUAACAGUCACAAAACUUUGAAAAUUAAAGUGCCAGCGAGGUGGCUUUUGGUGGCCAGAUGAAAGCUGUUAACCCCAGCUUUUACAAAUGCUGGGCUUUGAGUAAGAGGAGAGUGUCUUUCUGGAAAAGUUUGAGACCUCUUACUAUUGUAGCAGCAAAAGCAUCCACGGCUAGUGUUUUCCAAGCUCACUGCUACUUGUUGCAGUCUAGCAGUGUUGUGUCUCCUGAAAUUCCUACCUUUCUUGAUGGAUGUAAAAGAAGUACCAAUUUAUUAAGCUCCUAGUAUGUGCCAGAUGCUCCAUAUAUGUUACUUUUGAUCUUCAGAACCACUCAGCAACUUACUGCUUCUCCUCACUCCCAAUUACAUAGAUGAUGAAAUUGAAGCAGAGUAGUUUGUCUAGGAUUACAGAGCUAGGAGGGACCAGAGUUGGGAUUCUCCCUCAGUUCUAAUACACAGUAUGCUACAUUUCCUGUCGAGUAGUAACAAAGCUUCUAAGAAAUCUGAGUUUUCAUUUGUUAAAACUGAAUUUUUAAGAAAUGUAGACAGGAGCACUAAGUACUCUAUAGUUUAACGUUAAUAAUGGUACAAGUAUAUAACCAGUUUCUCAUGCACUGGCAUAACAUACUUCAGAGGGUACACCAGGGCUGGAUGAAUAUCUGAACCCAAAAAUAUCUGAGACAGGUCUCAGUUAACUUAGAAAGUUUAUUUUUCCAAUUUUGAGGACAUGCACCCAUGACACAGCCUCAGGUGGUCCUGACGACAUGUGCCCAAGGUAGUUAGGGCAAAGCUUUUUUUUAUACACUUUAGAGAGACAGGAGAUAUCAAUCAAUAUAUGUAAGAUGUACAUUGGUUAUGUCCAGAAAGACAGGACAACUAAAGCAGGGAGGGGGCUUCCAGGUCUUAUGUAGGUGAGAGAUAAAUGGUUGCAUUCCUUUGAGUUUCUGACUAGCUUUUCCAAAGGAGGCAAUCAAAUAUGCAUUUAUCUCAGUGAGCAGAGGGGUGACUUUGAAUAGAAUGGGAGGCAGGUUUGCCCUAAACAGUUCCCAGCUUGACUUUUCCGUUUAGCUUAGUGAUGUUGGGGCCCUGAGAUUUAUUUUCCUUUCACACUUCUUCCAUUUUCUUUUUAAAAAUCUUUUGAAGAAAGCAUUUUAGAAGAAAAUGAGUCUCUGCUCUCAUGGCUAGGAUAGUUUAUUCCUACAGGGGUAGGUCCCAAGUUAUUAGGAAAGCUCAUUUUUAGCAGAUUGAGAAGUCUCAUGUCCUGUGAAGAGACAAUAGUAGGAGGAAGGGAGAAAAACAACAAACAAGAGAACAAUCCUAGAAAAUCUAUAUAGACCACAUUACUUUGAAGUCCAUACAUCAGUAGGUAGGUAUGAAAGUGGCUUAUGUACCUAAAUAGUUUGCUUUUAUUUUCUUCUGAAGUUUAAGUUGUCUAGAUUCAGUUUGCAGGACUUUAGAAAGUACAGCUUAGUUUUCAAUUAUUUCGAAUUAGGAAAAAUGGGGUGAGGGGAAGGAAAAGAAGGAAAAAAAUUGAAAACAUUAUUUUGGAGACUUGUAGCCAGGAAAAAUUAGAAUUCAGUCUAAACUGUAGAAAAUAAUAAAAAUAGAAAAACAUUAGGCAAGACUAAAAUCUAACAACAGGUGCACUAUAGUUUUUGAAACGUAUUUUUUCUCUCUCCAGUUUCCCAUUUUCACUAAAAACAAAUCAUAGAAGAACCAAUUUGCUUUAUUAUACUUGGCCAGAUUAUUUGUAUGAAGUGAAGCAAGAAUAAUUAUUUUUCACAUAGGCUUUUAAAAUUAGCUUUGAUGGACUUCUUCCAUAGAAGGAAUCUCACAUAAGCCUUUUUUAAAGCCAAGCCCAGCCACAGAUUUGUACCAUCAAAUACCUAUGAGUUGGGUGAAUUAUUCUCCUUUUGAGUUCCAACAUAACUUAGGGCUCUUGGGCCUGUCAGAAAGUGACAUUCUUUACUUACCACAGGUCAGGAACACCGUUCAGGGACUGUGCAGACAAGGUAUGAGGCCAGUUUCCCCAAGGGGUUUUUAUUGGCUCUAUAAAUCAAGUUUAAUACCUUAAAGGAAAGCACACCAUUCCAGCCAAAGACUCAGUAAAAUAACCAGUUUCUCCAAUUGUGUCCUGUUACAAAUAAAAACAGAUUCUUAUUUCACUUAUGCAAAUAACUAUAUUGCCGUAAGUCACGAAUACUUACAAGUAGUUUCCAAAUUUUGGAGAAAUCAGGUAGAGAGAAACAAAUAAGCUCCAAAUUUCGUUCAUAGGAGUAUACUUGUUAAAAGCUGUCAAUAGCUCAAAAGAAAAGUUUCCUUGACUCUGAAAAACAAAACAAAGGAUCAGCAACGUUUUGUGCAAAAAGUCAAAAAGACUACUUCAGUCUUCUACUGGUUCAGUCCAUGCAGUUAAUUUCUGUUCUGCUUGAUAUUCGUGAACAUUUCAGCUCUCCGUAAGUCCUGAAAGUUUUUCCUCUUUUCUAAUGUCACAAUCUCCAAAGUUAUCAGAAAACUGCAUUCAAGAACACAUGUUAAGAGUUUUAUAGCUGAUUAUAAAACUACCUUCAAAAGAGGAACAAAACAAGACAACAAUUGUCCAUGGAUGACAAAAAAUUUUAGGGCAGCCAUAGUCAAAGACACAGUUGACAAGAAAAUUUGUUACCUCUGUGGCAUACAAUAAUUUAACAUAACAAUUAUAAUUACUGAUAACAUACACUAAGUCAUAUCAGAAUUUUAGGAGUUUCCUAUUAUUUUGGAACAGAUACCAAUAACACAUUUAUACAAAUACAGCCCAAAGAAAACCAAAUACCAUUUCAUAUUUGACAGUGCUUCCUGUAUAAUUUUUAUACCAAAUAAGACAAAUAUGUCAUUUUUGGACUUUAGGGAACAUAAUAUUUUAAAGGAUGAAUUAGGUCAGAUAAAGACAUAAUUUAUAAUUUGAUUUUGGAAACUUUGUCAAAUAUCAAAGGUUGAAAACACUUGAUAUCACAAAAUAAGAUCACAGGUCAUUGUAAAAAGUCAUUUAUUUAACCAAAGUGAUAACUCAAGGAUUUAAAAAAAAAAAAGGCAAAAACCUUCAUUAUUUUAGAGAGGAGACUUAAUUUCCCAAACAAGCCCUAAUAAAAACAGCAUGAAGCCAAUUAAAUUUGCUUUCCAAAAUUUUAUACACAAUCUAUAAAAUUUUAAUCCUGACUAUAAGAUAUAACUUCCAUAAACCUUUUAUAACUUUUAUAACC